AACGCGAAGAACCUUACCAAGACUUGACAUGCCCUCUAUGAGCUCCAGAAAAGGGAGCUCUUCACUUCGGGUGGGAGGUGCACAGGUGCUGCAUGGCUGUCGUCAGCUCGUGUCGUGAGAUGUUGGGUUAAGUCCCGCAACGAGCGCAACCCUCGUCCUCUGUUGCUAACAGGUAAUGCUGAGAACUCUGAGGAAACUGCCGGUGAUAAGCCGGAGGAAGGUGGGGAUGACGUCAAGUCCUCAUGGCCCUUACGUCUUGGGCUACACACGUGUUACAAUGGCGGUGACAAUGAGCUGCUAGCCCGCAAGGGUAUGCGAAUCUCAAAAAGCCGCCUCAGUUUGGAUUGUACUCUGCAACUCGAGUACAUGAAAUUGGAAUCGCUAGUAAUCGUGGAUCAGCACGCCACGGUGAAUACGUUCCCGGGCCUUGUACACACCGUAGAGAC
rnacentral:rRNA from 1 species